CACCUUAUAGCUCUGUUGCCACGGUAAUCAAAACAGACCAUUUCCUCGUGUCAACUUCGAGUGAGGGGCUUGUGGUUAGAGCAGGGUGCGAUGAUGAGUGGCGCCGCAGAAGAGGAAAUCACAGAGAAAGGGGAAGAGGCAGUGAGAUGAGAAAGCUGGACAAUUAGUACUCUCUCUUUCCCACUAUUUAUAUAUUUCUCUGUCCCCCUCUUUCUCGCACACAGACAUGAUGAGAGGGGCUCUGAUUUCCCUUGCCCUGUGCCUUCCUCACCUCUUCGCCACUCUUGUCCUCCAUUCCACCAUUGCGGCUUCACCGAGUGCCACAGAAACCACAACAACAGUUCUAGACCUUAGUAUCAGCACUCCAACAUCAGAACCCCUGAUGCCUCCACUCUCCACAACUGAAAAGCACCCUGGUAGGACUAGUGGCACGUCUAAAACACCAUUGAAGAAAAGCACUCGCUUAGCAGCUGUCAACAACUCAGGCAGAACGACUCAAGGAAGAGGCAUUCUCGGAACAGGAACUGCCACUUACGCCACCACAGCCGUACAGAAGAGCAACAGGCACACAACUGCACUAGACUUGAGGAAGGAAACAGAGAGCCACAAUCACCAUGAGACUCUUCCCUUCAGCAGACACACAGCCUCACCCACAACUGACCACCCCAGCACCACCACUCUCCCCAGGGAGGAAGGGACUGAGUAUCAUGACAGCAGCAACAUUGAAAUAGCCAGAGAACUGAACACACCACAUUCCAUAGAGACUUGGGCUGCUGACACCAGUAAUGACUCCAGGCUAGCGAAGCCACACUUAGACAGAUCACAAGCAGCAGACCAGCACACUGUUACACAAGGACUAGAGACUGCUUCAGGAGAUUACCACACAACACAGAGAGACUUCUUCACAAUCACCCCAACUAGUAGAGCGACAGGUUUGAACAGAGGUAAACAAAGUAAGGCCAACAGCGUCGCAACAACAACGACGGUUUCACCUACGUACACAGUCACACGUCCUGGUUUGUAUGAGCACAUGACCGUGACUUACAGGGCUACCGGCUACAAAACACAACCUGACGACCCAAGCCAGUUUAAGGACCACACCACAGCCACAGUUUCAAUCCCCCAUGCUGACAAUAGCACAGUUCCAUAUAUCAAUGCAAACACAUUUACAGAUAAUAACACAGACAACUACACCGACACACUUUCAUACAGUAAUACCACAACCUCUAAUAAUCGUAACACAACAGUACAUUUGAAUAAGAAAACUCAUACUCAUUCCCUCGGACACAACCACACAAUCUCAGGCUAUGACAACAGGCUGAACAACACAACUGAAAACAAUGUGCAUCAUCGUCCUGAGUGCGGAGAUGAAAGGUCCCCACCGUUGCCUCCUGGCUCUACUAGACUGGUCUGUUUCAUUGUUCUGUGGGCUCUGGGAUUGACUGCUUCGGUCUUCCUUGGUCUCACCGUCUUCCUAUCGGUGCGUUUGUCAGUCCAGAGGGAGAGGAGAGUGAGGAGAGGAGGAGAGAAGGUGUCAGGGGUGGAUCUGGAGAACCUGUGGGUUGACCCGAUAUCAUCGGUGGAGGAGAGGGUGGAAUUCUGGUACGCCAACGGCUCCACCAUGGGACCCGGCCAUAAACGGAGGGAGAGAGGGAGGGAGAGGGGGAAAGAGAGGGGGAGGACGGAGCAGGGGAGGGAGGCAGAGUGUGACAACCUGUGGACUGGAGGACAUAACUGAUUUCUGGUAUGCAAAUGGAGGCGCGAUACCAGAAGAAACUACAGACCAAACAUUGUUGGAGACCUGCGUAUGAUUCCGUUUUUUUGUACUACAGUGCUACAAUUUACCUGGAAUUACUUUGGAGAGGAAUGUUCAUGCUUAGUUCACCAAUUCCAUGGUAGAUUUGAAAACUAUAAUCCUGACAGAGUUUCCAAUAUGAAUUGAUCAUCUGUACGUUUAUUGGCUGUAACAAAUGUAUAAGAUCUACAUAGGUCUACUGAAAGACAGAUUAAGCCUGGGUCUGAUCAGAGAGAGAGGAAUAGAGAGAGAGAUUAGAACCACAUGUCUAACUGGAAAUAACACUUGAUAAGAGAGUUCCCAUUUUAAGACAAUUCAGACACUGUUAGUGACACAUCAUCGUCAUGUGUCAAACAGCAACGAGGAGAAAGGUGCCAUUUCUACAAACACACCGAGACAAAUACUGUUGACUCCUAAUACUGUACAUGCACUGUUAUCAGGAGCUAGUCAAAUAAAACGGAUUGGUGAACUGCACUGGGCAUAAACAAUUUAGCUUAAUUUAUCUGACUGACACGUUUUCAUGCGUACUGUAUUCCAGAUAAUAGCUUAGUUAAGGUCUUAUUAUAGAUAAGCUGUUUAAAUACAAUUUGAUUUGAAAGGUGUAUGUCACAUUCACAUAUUUAGCAGAUGUUAUUGCAGAUGUAGUGAAAUGCUUGUGUUUCUAGUUCCAAUAGUGCAGUAAUAUAUAACAAGUAAUAUCCACAAUCUAAAGUAAAGGAAUGGAAUUAAGAAUAUACAAAUAUUUGGAUGAGCAAUGUCAGAGCGGCAUAGACUAAGAUACAGUAGAAUAUGAUAGAAUAUAGUAUUUACAUAUGAGAUGAGUAAUACAAAAUAUGUAAACAUUAUUAAAGUGGCCAGUGCGGGGGGGGUGGGGGAUGCUCCCGUGCUCCCUCUGCUGUUUCCUGAAGUCUGCGAUCAGCUCAUUGGUUCUGCUGACGUUACGUGAGAGGAUAUUUUCCUGGCACCACACUCCCAGGGCCUUCACUUCCUCCCUGAGAGGUUGUCUCGUAAUUGUUGGUAAUCAGACCUACUACUGUUAGGUGAUCUGCAAACUUGAUGAUUGAGUUGGAGGAGUGCGUGGCCACGCAAUCAUGGGUGAACAGGGAGUACAGGAGGGGGCUGAGCACGCAUCCUUGUGGAAACUCAGUGUUGAGGAUCAGCGAAGUGGAGGUGUAGUUUCCUACUUUCACCACCUGGGGUCAGCCCGUCAGGAAGUCCAGGACCCAUUUGCACAGGGCGGAGUUCAGACCCAGGGCCUCGAGCUUAAUGAUGAGCUUGGAGGGUACUAUGGUGUUGAAUGCUGAGCUAUGUCAAUGAACAGCAUUCUUACAUAGGUAUUCCUCUUGUCCAGAUGGGAUAGGGCAGUGUGCAGUGCGAUGGUGAUUGUACAGUCGGUGGACCUAUUGGGGCGGUAAGCAAAUUGAAGUGGGUCUAGGGUGUCAGGUAAGGUAGAGGUGAUAUGAUCCUUGACUAGUCUCUCAAAUCACUUCAUGAUAACAGAAGUGGGGGGGGGCGAUAGUCAUGUAGUUCAGUUACCUUUGCUUUCUUGGGUAGACGAACAAUAGUGGACAUCUUGAAGUAUGUGGGGACAACCGACUGGAAUAGGGAGAGAUUGACUAUGUCCUUAAACCCUCCAGCCAGCUGGUCUGCGUAUGCUCUGAGGUUAGGGAUGCAGUCUGGGCCGGCAGCCUUGUGAGGGUUAACACGCUUAAAUGUCUUACUCACAUCGGCCACGGAGAAGGAGAGUCCACAGUCCUUGGUAGCGGGCCACGUCGGUGGCACUGUGUUCUCCUCACAGCGGGCGAAGAAGGUGUUUAGCUUGUCUGGAAGCAAGAUGUCCGCGACAUGGCUAGUUUCCCCUUUAUAGUUCGUGAUUGUCUGUAGACCCUGCCACAUACGUCCCGUGUCUAAGACGUUGAAUCUUGAAGCCGUUGACUCCACUUUGUCUCUAUACUGAUGUUUUGCCUGUAUGAUUGCCUUACGGAAGGAACUGAAUGCCUUCAACUGGAAUAUGUGUAUUCCACAUUUAACACAACCCCUCUGAAUCUGCCUUAAAUCGACAUCCACGUCUUCGGCACCCGGUGAAGGAAUAACUACACUGUUUGUAUUCAGCCAUAUUCCCAAUCACCUUGCAUGGUUAUAUGCGAUGGUUCGCGCUUUCAGUUUUGGGGUAAUGCGGUUUAUGGUUAUGGUAGGUUUUAAUAGUUACAGUGUGUACAACAUCUCCUAUACACUUCCUGAUAAUCCCAGUCCCCGUAUCAGUGUAUUUAUUUGUCUAUGUUGUUCUCGGAGGCUACCUGGAACAUAUCCCAGAUUCUGAUUGGUCAGACCAGCGUUGAAUAGUCCUUAGCACGGGUACUUCCUCUUUGAGUUUCUGCCUAUAGGAAGGGAGGAGCAAAAUGGAGUCAUGAUCAGAUUUGCCAAAGGGAGAACAGGGGAGGGCCUUGUAGGCAUCCCAGAAGUUGGAGUUGAGUGUUGAAGGUCGAGUACUACAGGCAAUGUUUUGAUAGAAUUUCGGUAACGUUUUCCUCAAAUUUGCUUUGCUAAAAUCCCCAGCUACAAUAAAUGUUGCCUUAGCAUAUGUGGUUUCCAGUUUGCAUAAAGUCCAGUGAAGUUAUUUGAGGGCUGUCAUGGUGUCGGCUUGAGGGGGAAUAUACAGGGCUGUGACUAUAACCAAAGAGAAUUCUGUUGGAAGGUAAUUUGAUUGUGAGGUAUUCUAAGUUGGGUAAAAAAAAGGACUUGAGUUCCUGUAUGUUAUCACAAUCACACCAUGAGUAGUUAAUCAUGAAACAUACAACCCUGCCCUUCUUCUUCCCGGAGAGAUAUUUAUUAUUGUCUGCGCAAUGAACUGAGAACCCAACUAACUGAACAGACUCAGAGAGUAUAUUCCGAGAGAGCCAUGAGUAUGUUACAAUCCCUGAUGUCUCUCUGGAAGGAAAUCCUUGCCCUGAGCUCGUCAACUUUAUAAUCCAGAGACUGAAUAUUAGCGAGUAAUAUACUCAGAAUCGGUGGGUGCGCCUCCUGAGUCGAACUAAAAGUCAGCUCCGAGUAUCUAUUUUCCGCCCGGCAGAGUUUUGGAACAGCCUCUUGGAUCAGAGGAGGAUCCGAUUCGGGAAAGUCUUAUUCCUGGUCAUAAUACUGAUAUUGCUGGGGAGUUAUCACCACUCUGAUAUCAAAAAGUUCAUCCCAGCUGUAUGUAAAAACACAAAACAUUUCUUGGGCUAAUAAUUUAAGAAAUAACACAAAAAAUAUAUAUAUUAUAGUUUCCUAAGAAAUUGAAGCACGACAGCCCUAUCCGUCUAUCCACCGCUUACAAUUAUCCCUGCAUAAACAGAAUAUUCCUAAAUGUACCCAUGAUACUAUGCGGAACUGAGCCUGUACAAAUCAUGUAAAACAACAGUGAACGGAAUAAGAUGUUUACAUGCCACAUUAUCCAGUCUACGAUCAGCUUAUCCCAGGCAUCUUAACUGGGAUUCUCAUAACUGGGAUACAAGUUUAUUCGGGUUGUUGUAAACAGGAAUACUUGAGUAUCCCAAAUAAUAACGGAAUAUUGGUGUGCAUGUGAACAUGGCGACUGGAAUCGACUAUAGGCCUACCUCAAAAUUGAUAAUGGAUCGGGCCAUUUGAUCAAUAAUGUAUAGCUGUAAAUACAGUAGAAAAUCUACCCCUCUAGAAUGUAAUACCCGACCAGCUGAAGUUUGACAUAGAAUGUCCCAAGAUGUGAAAAUAACAUGGACUGACAUAAUAAAAUGGCAUUUUCAUCAUACUCUCUCUACUUUGAAUUCUCACGUUUUGACAACUUACGCACUUUGACUGCCAGCUCCCCAUACACACACACGCACACACCCACGCACAAACACAAACCCACGCACACCGUCAAGCACACACACAUCCAAGUAGGCCUGUGUGUAGGCGUGCAAACACACCCUGGCUCAAACAUUUCAACACACACACACAGAUUCUUCGUAGGACCAACUUCUCCUUUUUCCUCAAGAAAAUAAGCACAUGACACCGUAAACCAAAUGAAGCUGCUCUUAAGUUACUUGGCACUUAUCCACCUAUCUCUCUUUAGUAGUUAACAAAACUGUUUUACGGAGAAUUUGAUACUCUUGACGGGAAGAGAUCGAGAGAACCAACUAGAGAGAAUAAGGGAGGGGUGAGAGAAAGUAGGGAGGGACGGAGGAAGAGAGUGUGAGAAAGGUGCUUCAUACAAGUACUAGUGCAGGGGACGUCAUCCACACAGUACACGAGUUAAAGCCUAAUGCCUUUAUGGUGGAUUGAUUAUUUCAAACCCAACCGUUCUCUCCAAGCCACGUGUAGGUCUCGUGACUUUUUUGGUUCACCGUUGCUGCAAUCUCUCACGCUGCACCUGAAAUAGACAGCUGACAUACAGAAAAGUAAAGUGAAGUGCAGGGGGAGGAGAAAACGGAAGAGCGAGAGAGGAAGAGAAGGGUUGUGUCUUUCCGGCCUAUUUGCACACAAGUACACCCUAGUUAAACCACAAGCCCAGCAACCAGGAGAGACAGCAAGAGAACAGAAGUUUGACUACGUAAAUGCACUUCAAAUGCUUAACACUCAGUCAAACCUUAGAUUAUUAACAAGAGCAAGGCCUGAAAGAAAGUGACAAUUCGAGAGCAGUGAAGAUCAAAGCCUGACACAACCCUAGUCAAACCAAGAGCCUCGGUAGCUGAUGACGGAUACUGCUUUUCUUUUCUAGAAUGGGAAUUUUUCUCCUCUAGACUUGUAAAAGAAACCUGCAAUACCUUUCAAGCCACAAGGCUGUCACUGACGCACCUCAGAGAGAGGAAGACAAACGUAAUCUGAGAGAGGUCAGCAAAACCCUUUAGUGACUGUUGACCUCCGUGAACCCUCUCAGUUCUUGCCCAGUAUGGAGUGGGUACGACUGAUGCUCGGGGCUAUGCUCCUCUCCCUCUCUCUGCCCAGUCUCCCUGCCCAAAAUAAUGUCCCCAUCACCGUACCUGAAUAUGGCAUGGCAGCACCUACUGAGGACGGCACGAUGGCAGCCUCUUCACCCGAGGCCACCACCAAGACAACGACUGCUCCUGUGGUCGUCACUACAGCAGAGCCUGUCACUGAAAUCACCCUGGUAACUUCUGUUCCAGUACUUAUCAUAGAUAACAUCACUAUAGUACUAACAGACCCUGAGAUCACAACCGUUCAGGAGCCCACCUCUGAUGCACCAACUACUACUUCAGAGGCUGAGACGAUGACACCAUCCCCUGUGACCACUGAAGGACCUGUAGAUACGACCACUCCACCUGGCCCUAAAUCCACCCUCUCCCAAGACGUCCUGACUACCACCUCUUAUCUCCCAACCACAUCCCAGGACCACCUGACUUCUGUUAUCCCAGUCGGGCCCCUCCACACCACCCCUCAUCUGACGAAGGACUCCUUUACUACACCUGAACCUAUCCACACUGCCUCAGAGAGUACUGCCAGCCAAACAGAGGGACUUAUCCAAGCACCCGCCUCCCCAUCGGUCAACAGCACUCCCAGCCAUUUCACAACCCCCACUACGACCUCCACCUCCACAGAUCAUGACUCUACGGUGGGCAGGGUCAAGCAAAGUCCGCUCAGCUUGUUCUGGAUCAUCAUCGCCAUUCUCCUGGUCUGUGUUAUAUUCCCGGGCAUGGUCUAUUGCAUAUAUCUGGGCGUCAGACGAAAGAGGCAGUGCCGCACCGAGUACUUUGGGUCCGGCGUCCGGAACGGGAAGAGUUCCAAGUGGAAGAAAGGAGCAGAGGAAGAUGCCUGGGCGGGGCCAGUGAAGCUAGGGGGCGGGGACAGGGAGGAGGGUGAGGGCGUGGAGGAGGGAGGGAGCCCAGAGGACAACAAGAGAGAGGGGGCUGGAACAGAUGUUGUGCUGAGCACAUUCAUAGCCAACGAGACCGAGGGAGAGAGGGGUGGGCCUGAUGGGGCAGUUGGAGUGGCUGGGAGCAAGGAGGCAGAGAAAUGGGAGGAGAAGGAGCCUCUGUUGUACAUUGAUGAGGGAGUGGAGGAGGUGCUGGAGAAAAUGGCUCCUCCUUCACUUUCAAAAUCUGACUCUGAGAAAAAGACAGGAGGGGGCAACAGAGAGGGGGAAAGUGAAAAGGAGAUGGAGAGGGGAGAAGGGAAUGGAAAGAAAGAAAAUGAGAGUGAAAGAGGUGAGCAGAACGGAGGAGCGGCAUUCUGUCUAACCACUGCAGUUUAAAAACAGUUUUCCCAUUAAAGGUUUUUCUAGAUGAUAAUUGUAAAGGUUUCUAAUAUUUUUGUACUACUGAAAAGGCCUUUAACAUUGUAUUGAUCUGUGAUUGUGUGCUCUAUCAACAAAAUGAAUGGUUGUGUGUAUAGCCAUACGUUUUACCAGUUGUAUUUUGUAUGGUGUUAUUUCUUAACCGUUUUCAGUUUAAUAAAGUUUUAGAAUGUGGAGAGAA